rnacentral:rRNA from 1 species
AGAGUUUGAUCCUGGCUCAGGAUGAACGCUGGCGGCGUGCUUAACACAUGCAAGUCGAACGGUCCUUCGGGACAGUGGCGGACGGGUGAGUAACGCGUGGGAAUCUGCCCUUAGGAGGGGGAUAACGGUUGGAAACGACCGCUAAUACCCCAUAUGCCGAGAGGUGAAAUGAAAUCCGCCUGAGGAUGAGCCCGCGUCUGAUUAGCUAGUUGGUGGGGUAAAGGCCUACCAAGGCGACGAUCAGUAGCUGGUCUGAGAGGAUGAUCAGCCACACUGGGACUGAGACACGGCCCAGACUCCUACGGGAGGCAGCAGUGGGGAAUUUUCCGCAAUGGGCGAAAGCCUGACGGAGCAACGCCGCGUGAGGGAUGAAGGCCUCUGGGCUGUAAACCUCUUUUCUCAAGGAAGAAGAUCUGACGGUACUUGAGGAAUAAGCCACGGCUAAUUCCGUGCCAGCAGCCGCGGUAAUACGGGAGUGGCAAGCGUUAUCCGGAAUUAUUGGGCGUAAAGCGUCCGCAGGCGGCCUUGUAAGUCUGUUGUUAAAGCGUGGAGCUUAACUCCAUUUCAGCAAUGGAAACUACAAGGCUUGAGUGUGGUAGGGGCAGAGGGAAUUCCCGGUGUAGCGGUGAAAUGCGUAGAUAUCGGGAAGAACACCAGUGGCGAAGGCGCUCUGCUGGGCCAUAACUGACGCUCAUGGACGAAAGCCAGGGGAGCGAAAGGGAUUAGAUACCCCUGUAGUCCUGGCCGUAAACGAUGAACACUAGGUGUCGGGGGAAUCGACCCCCUCGGUGUCGUAGCCAACGCGUUAAGUGUUCCGCCUGGGGUGUACGCACGCAAGUGUGAAACUCAAAGGAAUUGACGGGGGCCCGCACAAGCGGUGGAGUAUGUGGUUUAAUUCGAUGCAACGCGAAGAACCUUACCAGGGUUUGACAUCCUGCGAACCCCUGAGAAAUCGGGGGGUGCCUUCGGGAACGCAGUGACAGGUGGUGCAUGGCUGUCGUCAGCUCGUGUCGUGAGAUGUUGGGUUAAGUCCCGCAACGAGCGCAACCCACGUCUUUAGUUGCCAGCAUUCAGUUGGGCACUCUAGAGAGACCGCCGGUGAUAAACCGGAGGAAGGUGUGGAUGACGUCAAGUCAUCAUGCCCCUUACAUCCUGGGCUACACACGUACUACAAUGCUACGGACAAAGGGCAGCAAGCUCGCGAGAGUUAGCAAAUCCCAUAAACCGUGGCUCAGUUCAGAUCGUAGGCUGCAACUCGCCUACGUGAAGGAGGAAUCGCUAGUAAUCGCAGGUCAGCAUACUGCGGUGAAUACGUUCCCGGGCCUUGUACACACCGCCCGUCACACCAUGGAAGUUGGCCAUGCCCGAAGUCGUUACU